GGAAGUGUAGUUCAGUGGUAGGUCUUACCUGGCAUAUGUAAGGCCCUGGGUUCCAUUCCCAGCAACACCA
rnacentral:tRNA from 1 species